UACGUAGGGGGCAAGCGUUGUCCGGAAUCAUUGGGCGUAAAGAGCGUGUAGGCGGUCCGAUAAGUCCGCUCUGAAAGCCCGGGGCUCAACCCCGGGAGGCGGGCGGAUACUGUCGGGCUAGAGUCCGGAAGAGGCAAGUGGAAUUCCUGGUGUAGCGGUGAAAUGCGUAGAUAUCUGGAGGAACACCGGUGGCGAAGGCGGCAUCCUGGACCGACACUGACGCUGAGGAGCGAAAGCCAGGGGAGCAAACGGG
rnacentral:rRNA from 1 species